GCUAGGCCCACUGUUUGGGACAGCAAACCCAGGGGCAGAACAGCCCAGGGGCCCCCUUAGGAUCUGGACAUGAGCAACUGGCACUGGGUGUGGUGUGGCGUCGCCUGCAGCCCACCAACCUAGCACAUGGAACCUGUCUCACUUUCUGGCCAAGUGACCCAAGGUACGGCCCUGACCCACAUCACAGGGUGGUCCUGAGAAUGAAAUGGCACAACAAAUGGGAACGAUGCUGCAGACCCGGGAGGACUCUGACCCUGCGGGCUUCAGGAAGCAUCUCACCAAACCACCACACAAACGUUUCGCUUAUUGCCCAGGCUGGAGUGUAAUGGCACAAUCUCGGUUCACUGCAACCUCCGCCUCCCGGGUUCAAGCGAUUCUCCUGCCUCAGCCUCCUGAGAAGCUGAGAUUACAGGUUUUUGCUUUUGCCAAUCCCCUCCCUCACAUGCCUUGAAACAAGCACUUUCAAAGACAAAGACAUAAACAACAAAAGGGUGCAGGCUGAGGUGGGUCAUCUUCUCUGCCUGCGUCUCCAACUCUGGAUCCUGCAGUUACUGGACUCAGGCCAUGGCUGACUCCUUCAUCACAGCUAAGAUGCUGCUGGGUUUAAGGCACUGUGACUUUCUGUGCCACUAAGACCGACAAAAAGCUGCCAAGUGAACGAUGACACAAAGAAAGACACAAACUGUGGGACCCAGCCCAACUUCAGAGCUGCUAAAAUGUGAACAAAAAUGCAUCCCGGAAUGGAUGGAAACCGAUCAUUCUAGUUGGUGUGACCUGCUCCAGUGCCUACAGUACGUGUCCUGACAGCGUGGGAGGGGAUAUGAAGGCCCCCCAGUCAAACAGGAGACAGCGUUAGUCUCCAAACUUAACUUUGUUAUCUCUUUCCCUCCUGGGGCCCAAUACCCGCCAGCCAGGACCUGUUUCUCCUCCAUCUCACAUUCUUUCCAGGUUCAGGACUGAAGUCGUCUUGUUCAGCUCCUUGACUUGGCCAUGCUCACUCUACAAUGCAGCCCAUGGAUGGCGCCCCCUCUGCCCAGCACAUCCCUCUGCCUGGGCUCUUGUCUCCCCGAAUCCUGCAAACCCCAGCCCCAGCCUUUAGCGUUCAGCCGCCCUCCCCGCUUCCCUCAUCCUCCCUCGCGUCCUCGCAGUGAGAUUUCAACAUGUCAUCUCAGUUUUUUUGUUCUUUUACUUUCCUGACUACAAGAAAAAUAAAAUAAUC
rnacentral:lncRNA from 1 species